GAUGAACGCUGGCGGCGCGCCUAACACAUGCAAGUCGAACAGCACCCCACCUCGGUGGGAAGCGAGUGGCGAACGGCUGAGUAACACGUGGAGAACCCGCCCCCUCCUCCGGGAUAGCCUCGGGAAACCGUGGGUAAUACCGGAUGACGCCCGGACGACGCAUGUCGCCCGGGCCAAAGCCCAGACGGGAGGGGAUGGCUCCGCGGCCCAUCAGGUAGACGGCGGGGUGAAGGCCCACCGUGCCGACGACGGGUAGCCGGGUUGAGAGACCGACCGGCCAGAUUGGGACUGAGACACGGCCCAGACUCCUACGGGAGGCAGCAGUGGGGAAUCUUGCGCAAUGGGGGGAACCCUGACGCAGCGACGCCGCGUGCGGGACGAAGGCCCUAGGGUCGUAAACCGCUUUCAGCAGGGAUGAGACAAGACGGUAC
rnacentral:rRNA from 1 species